rnacentral:rRNA from 1 species
UACGUAGGUGGCAAGCGUUGUCCGGAAUUAUUGGGCGUAAAGCGCGCGCAGGCGGUCCUUUAAAUCUGAUGUGAAAGCCCACGGCUCAACCGUGGAGGGUCAUUGGAAACUGGGGGACUUGAGUGCAGAAGAGGAAAGCGGAAUUCCACGUGUAGCGGUGAAAUGCGUAGAGAUGUGGAGGAACACCAGUGGCGAAGGCGGCUUUCUGGUCUGUAACUGACGCUGAGGCGCGAAAGCGUGGGGAGCAAACAGG